rnacentral:rRNA from 1 species
AUUGAACGCUGGCGGCAGGCCUAACACAUGCAAGUCGAACGAGUGGCGGACGGGUGAGUAAUGUCUGGGACACUGCCCGAUGGAGGGGGAUAACUACUGGAAACGGUAGCUACUACCGCAUACCAUAGGAUGUGACCAGAUGGGAUUGGAUAGUAGGUUGGGGAAUGGCUCACCUAGGCGACGCUCCCUAGCUGGUCUGCGAGGAUGACCACCCACACUGGGACGGAGACACGCUCCAGACUCCUACGGGCGGCAGAAGUGGAGAAUAUUGCACUAUGGGCGCAAGCCUAAUGCAGCCAUGCCGCGUGUAUGAAGAAGGCCUUCGGGUUGUAAAGUACUUUCAUCGAGUAGGCGUUACUCGCAGAAGAAGCACCGGCUAACUCCGUGCCAGCAGCCGCGGUAAUUC